UACGUAGGGAGCAAGCGUUGUCCGGAAUCAUUGGGCGUAAAGCGCGCGUAGGCGGCCUCAUAAGUCCGUUGUGAAAGUCAAAGGCUCAACCUUUGAAAGCCGAUGGAUACUGUGAGGCUAGAGUCCGGAAGAGGCGAGUGGAAUUCCUGGUGUAGCGGUGGAAUGCGCAGAUAUCAGGAGGAACACCCGUGGCGAAAGCGGCUCUCUGGGACGGUACUGACGCUGAGACGCGAAAGCGUGGGGAGCAAACAGG
rnacentral:rRNA from 1 species